GACGAACGUUGGCGGCGUGCUUAAUACAUGCAAGUCAACUGAAGCAGUGGUAGCAAUCUCGCUGUGGAGGUGGCGCACGGGUGAGUAACACGUAGGUAAUCUGCCUUCAGGUCUGGCAUAACUCCGGGAAACCGGGGCUAAUAGCAGAUGAUGCAGCGGCUCGACAUCGAGACAGUUGUUAAAGCUAUGGCGCCUGAAGAUGAGCCUGCGUCUGAUUAGCUAGUUGGCGGGGUAACGGCCCACCAAGGCAACGAUCAGUAGCUGGUCUGAGAGGAUGAUCAGCCACACUGGAACUGAGACACGGUCCAGACUCCUACGGGAGGCAGCAGUAAGGAAUAUUGCUCAAUGGGAGAAAUCCUGAAGCAGCAACGCCGCGUGAGGGACGAAGGGCUUUUGCUUGUAAACCUCUGUAGGGAGAGAAAAAAAUCCCAAUCUUUGGGACAUGAUGGUAGCUCAAAAGUAAGCCCCGGCUAACUACGUG
rnacentral:rRNA from 1 species